rnacentral:lncRNA from 1 species
GUUCGGUAAACAGGAAGUUGUCGAGUGAUGAAUCUGAAAACGCAUCACACGGUAUAGCUGACUUAUAUAAAUCCUGAAACCAAAUUUCAGAAAUCCUUGUAUUGUAGUUCCUGAGAAAAUGUGACGAAAAUUUUCAACUUGGCUAUCAUGUGUAAAAUCAGACAAGUGUUCGGUAAACAGGAAGUUGUCAAGUGAUGAAUCUGAAAAUGCAUCACACGGUAUGGCUGACAUAUAUAAAUGUUGAUACCAAAUUACAGAAAGGGUGGAUGUGUAGUUCCUGAGAAAAAUGUGACGAAAGUUUCAUGGGACGGACUGACUGACGGACUGAUGGACGGACGGACUGAUGGACGGACUGACGAACAGACUGACAGACAGAGGUAAAACAGUAUACCCCCCCUUUUUUAAAGCGGGGGUAUAAUGAAAAAUAGUACAAACAA